rnacentral:rRNA from 1 species
AUUGAACGCUGGCGGCAGGCUUAACACAUGCAAGUCGAGCGGAGAUGAGGUGCUCGCACCUUAUCUUAGCGGCGGACGGGUGAGUAAUGCUUAGGAAUCUGCCUAUUAGUGGGGGGCAACAUUCCGAAAGGAAUGCUAAUACCGCAUACGCCCUACGGGGGAAAGCAGGGGAUCUUCGGACCUUGCACUAAAUGAUGAGCCUAAGUCGGACUAGCUAGUUGGUGGGGUAAAGGCCUACCAAGGCGACGAUCUGUAGCGGGUCUGAGAGGAUGGUCCGCCAACCUGCGACUGGGACACGGCCCAGACUCCUACGGGAGGCAGCAGUGGGGAAUAUUGGACAAUGGGCGGAAGCCUGAUCCAGCCAUGCCGCGUGUGUGAAGAAGGCCUUAUGGUUGUAAAGCACUUUAAGCGAGGAGGAGGCUACUUAGAUUAAUACUCUAGGAUAGUGGACGUUACUCGCAGAAUAAGCACCGGCUAACUCUGUGCCAGCCGCCGCCGUAAAAC